rnacentral:rRNA from 1 species
CCUACGGUGGGCUGCAGUGGGGAAUUUUGGACAAUGGGCGCAAGCCUGAUCCAGCCAUUCCGCGUGAGUGAAGAAGGCCUUCGGGUUGUAAAGCUCUUUCGCAAGGGAAGAAAACUUAUCCUCUAACAUAGGAUGAGGUUGACGGUACCUUGAUAAGAAGCACCGGCUAACUACGUGCCAGCAGCCGCGGUAAUACGUAGGGUGCUACCGUUAAUAGGAAGUACGGGGGGUACUGCGUAAGCAAGAUGUGAAAUCCCCGAGCUCAACUUGGGAACUGCGUUUGAAACUACAAGACUAGAAUAGGUCAGAGGGGGGUAGAAUUCCACGUGUAGCAGUGAAAUGCGUAGAGAUGUGGAGGAAUAUCAAUGGCGAAGGCAGCCCCCUGGGAUCAUAUUGACGCUCAUGCACGAAAGCGUGGGGAGCAAACAGGAUUAGAUACCCGAGUAGUC